CUUUUUCUCUCUCUCAGUUAUCCACCGGCGCCGCCACUACUCGGGCUCGUAAGGAACGCAGAUAUCCUCCACCCGUGGUGCUCCCUCUCUCCUCCACUGACGGCUCCACCGCUCUGUGCGUCUUCGGCGUUCCUGCUCCACGAGCACCACACCGACUCAGAACGACGGGUCUUGAAUGCUGAUCAUUCACUCUCCCUCUCUGUUCUUCUUCCUCCAUAAAUUGGGGUUUUGGGCGUUUGGGUCUUCAACCUCUGAAAGAACAUCAACCAAAUGAUGGUAAAGUGAUUCAAGUUGGAAUCUAAUUGGUUUCUGAAGGCUUGUUGAGGAAUGCCAAGCUAGUGAGAAUGUGAUAAUUAAACAAGACCAUCUCUAUUUUGCUUUCUCUAUUCUCAUCGUUUUGUUUAUGUUCAUCAAAGAAGUUUAUAUCUGUUGCUUAAGUUUAUCUUCAUCCAAAAGAUUUAGUUCUCUUAUUUUGAUCA